GCUCGGAGCGGGCAGGCUGCGCUUGAGAAGGCGAUGCUCGAGGACGACAUGCAAAGCUCUCAGCGCCAGAGGGAGAACGGGCUGGCGGCAACCGCUGUUUCUGCGGCUCGGUCUGGGAGACUGAAAGCAGGACGCUGGCUCCAACCCUCCGCGACGGGCUGGCUCCUCUCCAGGUCCUGUAGAUUCUGGAUGCUCCCAGGUUGUCUGGAGACCAGACGACGAUACAUUGGAAAGUGUGUUCCUGAAUACUCCCCCCUUCAAGAUCAUGGAAUGUUCUGGAUUCCUGGAGCCUUUCUCUGGAGCCACAGUAGCACCUAUAUCCAGUGUGGCCACUUCACUGGGGGUGGCUGCUGAGUCUGGAUGAUCACUUCUCAUUUUUUCUUGACUCAGAAGAGUUUCUGGAUUGGGGAGUUCUCUCUCUCUCGAAAUGGUAAAAUCAAGACUUCUGGGUCGCUGCUGCCCAGAGAUCCUGGAUUUGACUCUUUGGGACCCAGUAGGAGAUUCAGAGGCAUGUUCUUGGAGACUUCCUGCAGAGCUGGAAUUCCUGCGUAGCUUGCCACUGGGACUCCCCUUCUCCCCCUGUUGCUUGCCAUAAAGUGGGCUUCUCCUGGAGGACAGAGUCAUGCUCCUGGCCCCUGGCUUGCCCUGCAUAUCCUGGUCCUCAGAGGUCGUCUGAUCUCUCCGUUUGCCCUGAGGCUUCUUCUGGGGCCCCCUUCCAGCCUCAUACUGGCUGGAUGGUCGGCUGAUGGCCCCAUCACCACUUUGCCGCUGCCUCUCACCUUCCAGGCCGUCUGGUAUCCUCAGGCCCUUGGGCUUAUUCUCCCCAGAAGAACAAGACAUUGCUGAACUGUCUGUGCCACUUUCUUGUAUCAGAUACUCUGCAAAGACAAAAGAAUGCAAAGGCAUGAAAUUGUGCAGUGCUCAGGGCCAGGGGUUGGGAGAGAAGGGAAAAUCCUCUCAGUGUGUGAUUAUAGGUGUAUAAAACUCACAAAAUCUAUCAAUAAAGAAUUAAGGUAUUUGGCACAAAAAUUUGAAAACAGACUUUGAAGGACAAUUAAAACUUCAGAAACUAAUUUACUUCUGUUUUAUUCUUUGGUUUCACGACAUGAAGAAAAUCCUAACACACAGGUAAGUAAGUGGAAAUGGUGAUUUUUGUUUUAAACAACUUGCUUGGAAGUUUCAGGAUACAGUUUCAUGAGACAGAAAUGACAGGAAAGUCUUAAUUCCAGGGUCUACAUAAAAAGGAGCUCAAGUACAGCACAAACUAUCACGCUGCUGGCCACUAGAAUUUCAGAAUUUUGUUAAUGACACAUUUUAAUAUGAAUUUGUUGGUUUUGUAAAUUAGAAAAAUUAAUAAAAUUUAGAUUAAGUAUUUGUUAACAUUCUAAAGAAUCCCUAAAGUAUGUUCCUUGGAUGUAACUUGAAAACCACUACUCUAAUAAAGAAAUGAAGAAAUCCUGUAA